AUGUGGUCUAAUGGUGAGGAUUCGUGGUUUUCACCCACGCGCCCCGGGUUCGAUUCCCAUUAUCGGAA
rnacentral:tRNA from 1 species